rnacentral:rRNA from 1 species
UGGGGAAUUUUGGACAAUGGGCGCAAGCCUGAUCCAGCAAUGCCGCGUGCAGGAUGAAGGCCUUCGGGUUGUAAACUGCUUUUGUACGGAACGAAACGGCUCUGGUUAAUACCUGGGGCUAAUGACGGUACCGUAAGAAUAAGCACCGGCUAACUACGUGCCAGCAGCCGCGGUAAUACGUAGGGUGCGAGCGUUAAUCGGAAUUACUGGGCGUAAAGCGCGCGCAGGCGGUUAUAUAAGACAGAUGUGAAAUCCCCGGGCUCAACCUGGGAACUGCAUUUGUGACUGUAUAGCUAGAGUACGGCAGAGGGGGAUGGAAUUCCGCGUGUAGCAGUGAAAUGCGUAGAUAUGCGGAGGAACACCGAUGGCGAAGGCAAUCCCCUGGGCCUGUACUGACGCUCAUGCACGAAAGCGUGGGGAGCAAACA